rnacentral:rRNA from 1 species
UACGUAGGCAGCGAGCGUUGUUCGGAGUUACUGGGCGUAAAGGGUGUGUAGGCGGUUAUUUAAGUUUGGUGUGAAAUCUCCCGGCUCAACCGGGAGGGUGCGCCGAAUACUGAAUGACUAGAGUGCGGGAGAGGUGAGUGGAAUUCCUGGUGUAGCGGUGAAAUGCGUAGAUAUCUGGAGGAACACCGGUGGCGAAGGCGGCAUCCUGGACCGAUAUUGACGCUGAUGCGCGAAAGCCAGGGGAGCAAACGGG